rnacentral:pre_miRNA from 1 species
CCUCUGAGGGGAAAGGUUAUAUCGAUUAUGAGGAAUCGAAGCAUAAGCGUAUAGCUUUUCCCCUUUGGUG